AACUCUUAACGGUGGAUCACUCGGCUCGUGGGUCGAUGAAGACCGCAGCAAACUGCUUUUGUCGUAGUGUGAAUUGCAGGAUACACUGAACAUCGACAAGUUGAACGCACAUUGCACCCAUGGUCCAAAGACUGUGGGUGCCCCUUCGCGAGGGUCG